rnacentral:rRNA from 1 species
GUCUAUGGCCAUGCCACCCUGAAUACACCUGAUCUUGUCUGAUCUCAGAAGCUAAGCAGAGUCAGCCCUGGUUAGUACUUGGAAGGGAGACCACCUAGGAAUACCAGGUGCUGUAGGCU